CAGCUUUUCUGUGGGUCUUGUAUGUUGGCAAAGGUGAAGUUGCCGCAGAACAAAGUAAUAGGAUGUUUGCUCAAGAAAUUGUACUUAAAAUAUAUUUUUAGGGGUAUUAAGUCUAUACAAAAAAAUAAUGUUGGCUGAAGUGUGUCAAUUGUCCAACCUCCUCCCCCUUUUCUUCCUCCUGUAUAUUUCAAAGGAUACACUCUUCCCCCUGGAAAUCCAUGUGAAGGCUUCACGUUGCCACCCCCGCCAGCAGAUAAGAAGAGGAUUGGACCACGGCGUAAGUUUAAAAGUCUCGUAAUAACCUGAAAUUUUUCUCCUUUGAAUAGAUUGAAGGUCAGAAAUAUGAGUACUAAAUGUUGAACCUCAGUUUUCUUUUUCUUUUGUUUUUCCGCAUGUCCGGUGUGCUACCUUCCUGUUGAACAAGCUAUUGCAUUAAUGCCUGAUGCACCAUCCUUUUCUCCUGGUGUUAGCAAUUUGACUUACAUCCAUGAAGUAAAUUAGAGUAAAGUCGAUUUUGGAGGUUCAGAUUUCGGCGGAUAUCCUUCGCUAUUUCAGAGGAAUGAUUCUUAUGACAUAAGAGAGUCCAUGAGGGUGCAUUGUGGUUUUGUCAGAGGAGUCAAGCCUGGACAUCAGACAGGUUUUGACAUUGAUGAUUCUGAC